GUGGGGAAUAUUGGACAAUGGGCGGAAGCCUGAUCCAGCCAUGCCGCGUGUGUGAAGAAGGCCUUUUGGUUGUAAAGCACUUUAAGCGAGGAGGAGGCUACCGAGAUUAAUACUCUUGGAUAGUGGACGUUACUCGCAGAAUAAGCACCGGCUAACUCUGUGCCAGCAGCCGCGGUAAUACAGAGGGUGCAAGCGUUAAUCGGAUUUACUGGGCGUAAAGCGCGCGUAGGUGGCCAAUUAAGUCAAAUGUGAAAUCCCCGAGCUUAACUUGGGAAUUGCAUUCGAUACUGGUUGGCUAGAGUAUGGGAGAGGAUGGUAGAAUUCCAGGUGUAGCGGUGAAAUGCGUAGAGAUCUGGAGGAAUACCGAUGGCGAAGGCAGCCAUCUGGCCUAAUACUGACACUGAGGUGCGAAAGCAUGGGGAGCAAACAGGAUUAGAAACCCCCGUAGUCC
rnacentral:rRNA from 1 species